rnacentral:rRNA from 1 species
UGACUGACCGAUAGUGAACCAGUACCGUGAGGGAAAGGCGAAAAGAACCCCGGCGAGGGGAGUGAAAAAGAACCUGAAACCGUGUACGUACAAGCAGUGGGAGCACAGGUUUACCUGUGUGACUGCGUACCUUUUGUAUAAUGGGUCAGCGACUUAUAUUCUGUAGCAAGGUUAACCGAAUAGGGGAGCCGGAGGGAAACCGAGUCUUAAUUGGGCGUUAAGUU